rfam:Corchorus capsularis cultivar CVL-1 contig12439, whole genome shotgun sequence.
UUGAGCCGGAUGAGAGGAAACUCUCAUGUCCGGUUUUGAGGGGGGGGGGGGCAUAAGACCCUAUCCUAAU